rnacentral:rRNA from 1 species
CAAAAACAUCGCUCAAAGAAAUUAAAUUUUGGGUAUCUCCUGCCCAGUGAAUUUUUAAACGGCCGCGGUAUUCUGACUGUGCAAAGGUAGCAUAAUAAUUUGACUUUUAAUUUGAGUCUGGAAUGAAAGGAAGGAUGAAAGAAUAAUUAUUUUUGAAUUUUAAAAAAAAUAUUUAUAAAAGUAAAAAUUCUUUUAUUUUAUAAAAAGACAAGAAGACCCUAAGAGCUUUAAUUUAAUAUAAAAAAAUUUUUACUGGGGCGGUAUAAAUUUAUAUCUAUCUAUUUUAAUUAAUAUUCAUUUUCAUCAAACAAUUAUAAAAGCUACCUUAGGGAUAACAGACUAAUUUUAAUUUAGAGUUCAUAUUGAAAUUAAAGUUUUGCACCUCGAUGUUGGCUUAGGAUAAAUUUUAUUUGCAGAAGAAUAAAAUUAUGGUUUGUUCAACCAAUUAUUUCCUACUUGAUCUGA